CAUCCUCCUCCUCCUCUCCUAACCGACCACAUGUCCGUUCGUGAAGGUCUUUGUGUGAGAUUAGACAUAGUUUUUGUUUGGAAGUUCUCCUGUUUUUGUUAGUUAGGAAGACUUCAACAACACAAAAAUCAACAUCUUUCAACAGGAACUGGACGUUCUACCCUUCAUGAGACAUAUCAGGUGCAGAGGAGACAUUUCAGGUGCCGGAGGAGGCUGAGGACAUUAAUGUACUCCUUCUGUGUAGAACCAUUUUCAACCAACCCAACUAACUUCUACCUAUUGAGCAUCAAGUAUCCAUGUCCUUUUCUUCCUCCUCACUACCUGGGUUGUGCACCUUGCAGGUGUGUCAGUCUUCGGUUUGGAUAUCAUUGGCAAAGAAUGGGCAAAGAUGUGGAGCCUGGGUGGAGGUGGAUGAAGCCUAACAGCUCCAACAAGCCACCUGUGAUGGCACUCACCUGUUAAUCCGCCUUAAUAUGAUUUGAACAGCUGUGUGGCAGCUCAACACCGUUAAUGGAUCCUGGAGAUACUCUGGCUCCUGGCCAUCCUAAACCUCUUCAUCUGUCAGAGGUGAGGAGGAUGGAGAAGGCUCUCUAACUCACUAACUUAUCCUGCUCGGGAAGGUGGAGGAGGAUGGCCGGAAGCAAGACAGAUGAAAUACCACCGGCGGUUCAAACUGAUAAACUUUACCAUUUUUCUGUAAAUAGAGACUCUCAUGAUCCACAAAAAACUUUGGACAGAAGCAACAAAAGACUGAAAAAAGCACCUAUUAACAGGUAAACAGGUUCAUCUGUAACAGGUGGUAGUAUCGUGGUUGGGUAUGAAAGAGGCGUCCUUGAAAGGCUCAGGCGCUCACAAGAAAUUACGAGGCAAAUAGUCCAACAGUUUCAGAACAAUGUUUGUCAUUGAUAU